rnacentral:rRNA from 1 species
GCGAGCGGAUCCCUUCGGGGUGAAGCUCGUGGAACGAGCGGCGGACGGGUGAGUAACACGUGGGCAACCUGCCUGUAAGAUCGGAAUAACCCCGGGAAACCGGGGCUAAUGCCGGGUAAUACUUUCUUUCGCAUGAAGGAAAGUUGAAAGAUGGCUUCUCGCUAUCACUUACAGAUGGGCCCGCGGCGCAUUAGCUAGUUGGUGAGGUAACGGCUCACCAAGGCGACGAUGCGUAGCCGACCUGAGAGGGUGAUCGGCCACACUGGGACUGAGACACGGCCCAGACUCCUACGGGAGGCAGCAGUAGGGAAUCUUCCGCAAUGGACGAAAGUCUGACGGAGCAACGCCGCGUGAACGAUGAAGGUCUUCGGAUCGUAAAGUUCUGUUGUUAGGGAAGAACAAGUACCGUGCGAAUAGAGCGGUACCUUGACGGUACCUAACGAGGAAGCCCCGGCUAACUACGUGCCAGCAGCCGCGGUAAUACGUAGGGGGCAAGCGUUGUCCGGAAUUAUUGGGCGUAAAGCGCGCGCAGGCGGUUCCUUAAGUCUGAUGUGAAAGCCCACGGCUCAACCGUGGAGGGUCAUUGGAAACUGGGGAACUUGAGGACAGAAGAGGAGAGUGGAAUUCCACGUGUAGCGGUGAAAUGCGUAGAUAUGUGGAGGAACACCAGUGGCGAAGGCGACUCUCUGGUCUGUUUCUGACGCUGAGGUGCGAAAGCGUGGGUAGCAAACAGGAUUAGAUACCCUGGUAGUCCACGCCGUAAACGAUGAGUGCUAGGUGUUAGGGGGCUUCCACCCCUUAGUGCUGAAGUAACGCAUAAGCACU